rnacentral:rRNA from 1 species
GUGUCAGCAGCCGCGGUAAUACAGAGGGCGCGAGCGUUGUCCGGAAUCACUGGGCGUAAAGGGCGCGUAGGUGGCGGCAUAAGGCUGUGGUGAAAGUCCGGGGCUCAACUCCGGAUCGGCCGUGGCAACUGUGUCGCUAGGGCACCGUAGAGGCAGAUGGAAUUCCGGGUGUAGCGGUGGAAUGCGUAGAGAUCCGGAAGAACACCAGUGGCGAAGGCGGUCUGCUGGGCGGUGGAGUCGCAAGACUCCGGAAGCCGACACUGAGGCGCGACAGCGUGGGGAGCAAACAGGAUUAGAUACCCUCGUAGUCC